rnacentral:rRNA from 1 species
GACGAACGCUGGCGGCGUGCCUAAUACAUGCAAGUCGAACGCAAAGGCCGUGGCUUUGUUGGGUGCUCGAGUGGCGAACGGGUGAGUAACACGUGAGUAACCUGCCCUGGACUUUGGGAUAACUUUAGGAAACUGGGGCUAAUACCGGAUAGCAGCUCCUGUUGCAUGGUGGGGGUUGGAAAGUUUCGGUGGUUGGGGAUGGACUCGCGGCUUCUCUGCUUGUUGGUGGGGUAGUGGUUUAGGAAGGCUUUGACGGGUAGCCGGCCUGAGAGGGUGACAGGCCACAUUGGGCCUGAGAUGCGGCCCAGACUCCUACGGGGGGCAUCAGUGGGGAAUAUUGCACAAUGGGCGGAGGCCUGAUGCAGCGACGCCGCGUGCGGGAUGACGGCCUUCAGGUUGUAAACCGCUUUCGCCUGUGACGAAGCGUGAGUGACGGUAAUGUGUAAAGAAGCACCGGCUAACUACGUG